ACUCUAAUAGUUUAUUAAAAACAUU
rnacentral:tRNA from 3 species